UACGUAGGGCGCAAGCGUUGUCCGGAAUUAUUGGGCGUAAAGAGCUCGUAGGCGGCUUGUCGCGUCGGUUGUGAAAGCCCGGGGCUUAACCCCGGGUCUGCAGUCGAUACGGGCAGGCUAGAGUUCGGUAGGGGAGAUCGGAAUUCCUGGUGUAGCGGUGAAAUGCGCAGAUAUCAGGAGGAACACCGGUGGCGAAGGCGGAUCUCUGGGCCGAUACUGACGCUGAGACGCGAAAGCGUGGGGAGCGAACAGG
rnacentral:rRNA from 1 species